rnacentral:rRNA from 1 species
UCUCCUGGAAACGGGUGGUAAUGCCGGAUGCUCCAACUUUCCGCAUGGUUUGUUGGGAAAGCUUUCGCGGUAUGGGAUGGGGUCGCGUCCUAUCAGCUUGACGGCGGGGUAACGGCCCACCGUGGCUUCGACGGGUAGCCGGCCUGAGAGGGCGACCGGCCACAUUGGGACUGAGAUACGGCCCAGACUCCUACGGGAGGCAGCAGUGGGGAAUAUUGCACAAUGGGCGCAAGCCUGAUGCAGCGACGCCGCGUGAGGGAUGGAGGCCUUCGGGUUGUAAACCUCUUUUAUCGGGGAGCAAGCGAGAGUGAGUUUACCCGUUGAAUAAGCACCGGCUAACUACGUGCCAGCAGCCGCGGUAAUACGUAGGGUGCAAGCGUUAUCCGGAAUUAUUGGGCGUAAAGGGCUCGUAGGCGGUUCGUCGCGUCCGGUGUGAAAGUCCAUCGCUUAACGGUGGAUCCGCGCCGGGUACGGGCGGGCUUGAGUGCGGUAGGGGAGACUGGAAUUCCCGGUGUAACGGUGGAAUGUGUAGAUAUCGGAAAAGAACACCA